rnacentral:rRNA from 1 species
CACGAAUUCAUAUGAGCUAAUUUACUUAUAAGGGAUGUCACAUAAUAUAUAUAUUUGAAAGUAAAUUAGGGGUGAUAGGCUUUUCAAAAAUGAGGGUAUCUUGAAGUAAGCGAAAAAAAUUGAGUUUUAAGUUAAUUACAAAGUUAUAAGAUUUUGUAACAAGUUUAAUCUUUAUUACUGUGAAAUACUGGUAUAAAAACCUGUAUGGAAAUUAACUAAUAUACAGUUAGUAAAUUUAUUAUCAUAGUUUACGAUAUGGUAACCUUUUUAUAAUCAUAAUGUUGGUAUUAGUAUCAGUUAGACACUUUUAGUGAACUCGGCAAUAAAGCUUUCAACUGUUUAUCAAAAACAUAGCCACAUGCUUUACAUGUGGUGUGUUCUGCUCAAUGAGAUUUAAAUAGCCGCAGUACCCUGACUGUGCAAAGGUAGCGUAAUCAUUUGGCUUUUAAUUGGAGUCGUGUAUGAAAGAAUGCAUGGGGGCUUACUUUACCAUGAGUGCAAGUUGAAAUUACUUAAAAGGUGAAAAUGCCUUUACAGAAAUAAUAGACGAGAAGACCCUUGAAAUUUUUAAAAACGUUUUGUUGGGGCAACAUAGUAGAUAAACCUACACAAUGAACAUGCAAAUUUUUUUGUUUGAAUAAAUUACUCUAGGGAUAACAGCAUAAUGUUACGACGUUUGUGACCUCGAUGUUGGAUUAGGGAACUAUAACUUAGAA